CAGUCGCCACGGGAAUACGAAGGGUGCAAGCGUUAAUCGGAAUUACUGGGCGUAAAGCGUGCGUAGGCGGUGAGUUAAGUCUGCUGUGAAAUCCCCGGGCUCAACCUGGGAAUGGCAGUGGAUACUGGGUCACUAGAGUGUGGUAGAGGAUAGUGGAAUUUCCGGUGUAGCAGUGAAAUGCGUAGAGAUCGGAAGGAACAUCUGUGGCGAAGGCGACUAUCUGGGCCAACACUGACACUGAGGCACGAAAGCGUGGGGAGCAAACAGGAUUAGAUACCCGCGUAGUCCCUGUCUCUUAUAC
rnacentral:rRNA from 1 species